AUCUGGUUGAUGAGUCCCAGACGGAAGGAAACGCGCGUCCUGAAU
rfam:Schistosoma margrebowiei strain Zambia genome assembly, scaffold: SMRZ_scaffold0000292